GGGGUACACGAGUGGCGCACGGGUGAGUAACGCGUAUGCAACCUGCCCUGUACAGGGGGAUAGCCCGGAGAAAUCCGGAUUAAUACCCCAUAGUUUUUAUGAGUCGCAUGGCUUAUAAAAUAAAGUUUCGGCGGUACAGGAUGGGCAUGCGUGGCAUUAGCUAGUUGGUAAGGUAACGGCUUACCAAGGCGACGAUGCCUAGGGGUUCUGAGAGGAUGAUCCCCCACACUGGGACUGAGACACGGCCCAGACUCCUACGGGAGGCAGCAGUGAGGAAUAUUGGUCAAUGGGCGAGAGCCUGAACCAGCCAUCCCGCGUGCAGGAUGACGGCCCUACGGGUUGUAAACUGCUUUUAUGUACCAAGAAUGUGUUCUACGUGUAGGAUUUUGACGGUAGUACAUGAAUAAGCAUCGGCUAACUCCGUGCCAGCAGCCGCGGUAAUACGGAGGAUGCAAGCGUUAUCCGGAUUCAUUGGGUUUAAAGGGUGCGUAGGCGGCUAUAUAAGUCAGUGGUGAAAUGCUGCAGCUCAACUGUAGAACUGCCAUUGAAACUGUAUAGCUUGAGUGCGCCUGAGGUAGGCGGAAUGAGUAGUGUAGCGGUGAAAUGCUUAGAUAUUACUCAGAACACCGAUUGCGAAGGCAGCUUACUAAAGCGUAACUGACGCUGAUGCACGAAAGCGUGGGGAGCGAACAGGAUUAGAUACCCUGGUAGUCCACGCCGUAAACGAUGAUAACUCGCUGUUGGCGAUACACAGUCAGCGGCUUAGCGAAAGCAUUAAGUUAUCCACCUGGGGAGUACGAUCGCAAGGUUGAAACUCAAAGGAAUUGACGGGGGCCCGCACAAGCGGAGGAACAUGUGGUUUAAUUCGAUGAUACGCGAGGAACCUUACCUGGGCUUAAA
rnacentral:rRNA from 1 species